CCUACGGGAGGCAGCAGUGAGGAAUAUUGGUCAAUGGGCGAGAGCCUGAACCAGCCAAGUCGCGUGAAGGAUGACGGCCCUACGGGUUGUAAACUUCUUUUGUCAGGGAGCAAUUGGGUCCACGCGUGGGCUUAGCGAGAGUACCUGAAGAAAAAGCAUCCGCUAACUCCGUGCCAGCAGCCGCGGUAAUACGGAGGAUGCGAGCGUUAUCCGGAUUUAUUGGGUUUAAAGGGUGCGUAGGCGGAAUAUCAAGUCAGCGGUAAAAUUUCGGGGCUCAACCCCGUCGUGCCGUUGAAACUGAUGUUCUUGAGUGGGCGAGAAGUAUGCGGAAUGCGUGGUGUAGCGGUGAAAUGCAUAGAUAUCACGCAGAACUCCGAUUGCGAAGGCAGCAUACCGGCGCCCAACUGACGCUGAAGCACGAAAGCGUGGGUAUCGAACAGGAUUAGAUACCCGAGUAGUC
rnacentral:rRNA from 1 species